rnacentral:rRNA from 1 species
GACAGCAGCCGCCGCGGGAAUACGAAGGGUGCAAGCGUUACUCGGAAUUACUGGGCGUAAAGCGUGCGUAGGUGGUGGUUUAAGUCCGUUGUGAAAGCCCUGGGCUCAACCUGGGAAUUGCAGUGGAUACUGGGUCACUAGAGUGUGGUAGAGGAUAGUGGAAUUUCCGGUGUAGCAGUGAAAUGCGUAGAGAUCGGAAGGAACAUCUGUGGCGAAGGCGACUAUCUGGGCCAACACUGACACUGAGGCACGAAAGCGUGGGGAGCAAACAGGAUUAGAUACCCGGGUAGUCCCUGUCUUUUAUAC